AGACUUUGAUCAUGGCUCAGAUUGAACGCUAGCGGGAUGCUUUACACAUGCAAGUCGAACGGCAGCAUGAGAGAGCUUGCUCUCUUGAUGGCGAGUGGCGGACGGGUGAGUAAUGUAUCGGAACGUGCCCGGUAGUGGGGGAUAACUACGCGAAAGCGUAGCUAAUACCGCAUAUUCUCUACGGAGGAAAGAGGGGGAUUGUAAGACCUCUUGCUACCGGAGCGGCCGAUAUCAGAUUAGCUAGUUGGUGGGGUAACGGCCUACCAAGGCGGUGAUCUGUAGCUGGUUUGAGAGGACGACCAGCCACACUGGGACUGAGACACGGCCCAGACUCCUACGGGAGGCAGCAGUGGGGAAUUUUCGACAAUGGGGGGAACCCUGAUCGAGCCAUCUCGCGUGUGGGACGAAGGCCUUCGGGUUGUAAACCACUUUUCUCAACGAAGAAAAGUCUUAGGCUAAUACCUUAAGAUGCUGACGGUAGUUGAGGAAUAAGCACCGGCUAACUACGUGCCAGCAGCCGCGGUAAUACGUAGGGUGCGAGCGUUAAUCGGAAUUACUGGGCGUA
rnacentral:rRNA from 1 species